rnacentral:sRNA from 1 species
AAGUGUGCAUGAUAUUGGUGGUGUAACAUGUUGGAGAGGACAGCCGAGAAAUUGGGUUGUAGGUUGUUUUUUUUUUUUUCCGACAGAGUCUCUAUCUGUUGCCCAGGUUGGAGUGCAGUGGUGCAAUCUCCCGGCUCACUACAACCUCUGCCUCUGGGGUUCAGGCGAUUCUCCUGUGUCAGCCUCCCGAGUAGCUGGGAUUACAGGCGUGCACAACCACGCCCGGCUAAUUUUUGUAUUUUUAGUAGAGACGGGAGUUUCAUCGUGUUGGCCAGGCUGGUCUCAAACUUCGUACCUCAGGUGAUCUGCCCGCUUCGGUGGGUUGUAGCUUUUAGCGGGAGCUAAAGUGUUCUGGGAUGGAGGUGGGAAGUAGGAUUUGGCCGGCUGAGUCUUCUAGAGGCAAUAUUGGGGUGUUGGUCUUCCCCAAGGGGAAGGGUGGUGAGGCUGAGGGAGAAGCAGUUAUGUUUUCAGCUGGGCAAACAUGGACGGUUGCCCGUAGAAACUUUGCCACUGUACUUCAGAACGUUGCCCUAGUCGUUGGAGGAGAACAAUGUGUUCCCUUUCUAGCCACCCUGGUCCACGGAGGGAGGAGGGAGAGAGAGAAUGUUUCCUCUUCGGCUGUUGUGGCUUCAGAGUUUCUCUUCUUUCGGAGGUUUUGUGGUAGUGGCUGGCAGUUAUUAGUAUGCCUCAUGGCUUUUAAAUUUCCAGAUCUUUUUGAUUUAGAAGUGGAAAUUUCCUAAUUACUUGAAGUCUUGUAGAAUUCCAUAAUGUUGUGAUUCUUGCCCACUAUCUUAAGUGAGACUUUGCAUGAGACCUAUGGAAAUUACGGCAGCAUUCCCCUUAGAAUCUGGCUUGAAUCAGCUUUUGUGUAGGAAACUGCUAGCCUUUUAAAAAAAUAUAUUGUAACCUUGUUUCAUCCUCAAAUCUAAAUGUGUAAUGAGUUUUCUUUUGGUGGGGAGGGGCGGUGGGUUUGAGUUAAGACCACAGCUAGGAUGAAAGGCAAAGAGAAAAACAAACUGUGGAAGCCAAGCCUGUUCUGUGGCUGGAUUUUACUUGUAUUGGAAGAAGUUCUAUGUUUUGUAAAUUUGUGUAUUGGUUUUGAUUUGUUUCCUCUGAUAGUUUAGUAUUUGGAUAGUUUAGUGUUACCUCAGCUACACUGAAGGAAUAGACCUUAGUCCUCACAAGUAUAAGUUCUAGCUUGGAAGCCUGGGUUCUGCAGUAGCUGUGGAACUUAAGCCUCUGAGCUCAGGGAUGCAGAGGCAUUGAGUUACUACCAAGGGCCUGAUCUUUUCUUUAGCAGGCAUCUGUGUUAAUUGUUUCGAAAGGUGGUGAUCAGUUUUACAGCCUAUUAUAAAGGAGAUUUUUGCCUACUAUAAAACUAAUCCCCCUGAAAGAGUGAGUAAACAUAACUUUUUGUGUGUUGACUUCCACAAGGGAAGGAGUUGGCACUUACACUCUGACUUUUGAUUCAGUCGUCCUUCUUGAGCCAUUUUUGCAGGGGAUCAGUUUGGAGUGGGCGUUAACAAUGUUAUUUUUUUUUUUCUUCUCCAGAACACCUUCCACCAUGACCACCUCAGCAAGUUCCCACUUAAAUAAAGGCAUCAAGCAGGUGUACAUGUCCCUGCCUCAGGGUGAGAAAGUCCAGGCCAUGUAUAUCUGGAUCGAUGGUACUGGAGAAGGCCUGCGCUGCAAGACCCGGACUCUGGACAGUGAGCCCAAGUGUGUGGAAGAGUUGCCUGAGUGGAAUUUCGAUGGCUCUAGUACUUUACAGUCUGAGGGUUCCAACAGUGACAUGUAUCUCGUGCCUGCUGCCAUGUUUCGGGACCCCUUCCGUAAGGACCCUAACAAGCUGGUGUUAUGUGAAGUUUUCAAGUACAAUCGAAGGCCUGCAGGUGUGUAUAGCACAGCUAUGGAUGCCCCUCCUCAAUCUGUGAAUGCUGUGAAGGGGAGGGAGAAGACAUUCUGAAAUCAGCAUUGGGAAGACUAGGCAAUUUCAGCACUAUUUUAAGAAUCUGAGUGAUUCUUUUCCCUGAACUUCUGCUUUGAGGAAGAGAUAAUAUGGCCCAUCUUUCUAUGGUCUUCUCUGUUGGUUGCAUAAAAUAGCAUUGGAUUUGUCCAGAUCUGUUUGCCAGUCUUGGAGUCCCCAGUAACAGCCUUCCUGCCUGGAAUGUAGGCCAGGACAAAUGUAAACCAAUGGACAAAUGUUUCUCAAAAAUUAUAGAAUGGCUCCAAGUGCCUGAGAAAUGAAGAAUAAAUCUGACAACCAGAAGCAGCUGUCUUGUGAAUAGAGGGUUAAGUGCCUGGCAUUUGGUGCUUGGGAGGUGGCCAGAAUGCAGAUAAGGUGAAAGUUGCCGUGUUCUAAAUCCACUCCCGUGUGACUUGGUUGUAACUGAGUUUAGUUAAAACUGAAGUCUUUCAGAGUCUUCCUACAGAUGUACAAUUAACAGCUUCUCUCAUUUUUCUGACUCAGUGACUCAGUGAUCCCAAGAAGGCCUAUACUGGGUCAGUUCAUACCAUAGUGCACACCUCAGUUGUAUAGAAUCCAAGGACUAUUCUCCCAUCAGCAUCAGUAUUCAGCAUCUAUGUCUUUAGAUCCCUGAUGGCGUAUUAUUGACUCUUUUUUCUAGAGACCAAUUUGAGGCACACCUGUAAACGGAUAAUGGACAUGGUGAGCAACCAGCACCCCUGGUUUGGCAUGGAGCAGGAGUAUACCCUCAUGGGGACAGAUGGGCACCCCUUUGGUUGGCCUUCCAACGGCUUCCCAGGGCCCCAGGGUAAGUCUCCUUGGGUUAGAGGUGAAAUUCCCAGAAGUGUCUAACUGUGCAGGAAUGCCCCUUCGCAGGGAUGGGAAUGACUUUCAGAAUCAAGAAGCAAAAUAAUACAGUAAAGGCGAAACAGCCCUCACAUCACCAAAGUCCAAAAAUGGAUAUGAAUAUAUAAAGUAAGGUUUUAGGGGGAACCUUUGGCCCCACUGAAGCUGUGGUGAAGAGGAACUCCCCUAUUGCCCCUCCCCUGCCCCGCACCUCCAGAUGAAGGCAAGGAUAGUGAUUCAAGAGGGCAAGGCUUAAGGGCCUUCUGAUCUCUGACUUUGGGAUUCUCUGGAUUUCUUGACUCUUAGCGUUUUGUCUUGAUGCUUCUGUAGGUCCAUAUUACUGUGGUGUGGGAGCAGACAGAGCCUAUGGCAGGGACAUCGUGGAGGCCCAUUACCGGGCCUGCUUGUAUGCUGGUGUCAAGAUUGCGGGGACUAAUGCCGAGGUCAUGCCUGCCCAGGUAAGUAUAGCUCCAAUCCAUCAAUGAAGAAGGGUAGGUAGGUGCACAUAGGACUUUUGCUAGUAAGGGCUGCUGAUACACCACUCACUAACCCAAAACCUAAGAACGGGUUGGAGUACAGGUGAGAAGAGAACAGGUUUAGGAGCUUCUGAGUUGGAGUGAGCAGUUAGCUUUGUUUUAAUGGCCAAGCUUCUCGUUUCUAGUGGGAAUUUCAGAUUGGACCUUGUGAAGGAAUCAGCAUGGGAGAUCAUCUCUGGGUGGCCCGUUUCAUCUUGCAUCGUGUGUGUGAAGACUUUGGAGUGAUAGCAACCUUUGAUCCUAAGCCCAUUCCUGGGAACUGGAAUGGUGCAGGCUGCCAUACCAACUUCAGCACCAAGGCCAUGCGGGAGGAGAAUGGUCUGAAGUGAGUACCUUCUGCUGGGGCCAUCUUUAAUCUCCUGUGGCAGAAAACUUGGGAGGAGACUUAGCAAUCUCUCAGCAAAGUCUCCUUUGCAGGAUGACUUGCAAAUAUUUGCCAAAGAUGAGUAAACUUGACUUCUCAGUCUGGAUGUACUUUAGGUGUUGACACUUGCCUUCACAUUCUCUCAUUUUGUUCCUAUUUGAAAAAUACCAAAUAAUACUUCUGAUUCACAGUGAUAAAUAUUUGUUAUAAUUUAUAUAAUAUAUAUUAGUCAUAUAUCAUUAUAUAAAUAUAUAUCAAUAUAUAUAUUUGUGACAUGUCAUGGUGACGGAAAAGUUGACAAAUUCAUGCAUUUGAAAAUCUUUUAGAACUAAAUUAGUAACAAUACAGGCAUGUGGAUAAGCUUAAUGCUUAUGAGGGGGAGAAAGUUUAAAAUGAUUAGUCUUUUCAACAAAUAGUAACUUUCUACUGCUUGUCGGGCACUGUUCUGACCACUGAGACACACAGGUAAGAAGACGCAGCCACUGCCCUCAUGAAGUAUUUGUUCUACUGUAUCAUAUUUUGGUGCACUUCAUUCUUGGCUCCAUACCUGGAGACAAGGUUGGACCGCCAUCUUUUCUGUUUCCUCUAGGUACAUCGAGGAGGCCAUUGAGAAACUAAGCAAGCGGCACCAGUACCACAUCCGUGCCUAUGAUCCCAAGGGAGGCCUGGACAAUGCCCGACGUCUAACUGGAUUCCAUGAAACCUCCAACAUCAACGACUUUUCUGCUGGUGUAGCCAAUCGUAGCGCCAGCAUACGCAUUCCCCGGACUGUUGGCCAGGAGAAGAAGGGUUACUUUGAAGAUCGUCGCCCCUCUGCCAACUGUGACCCCUUUUCGGUGACAGAAGCCCUCAUCCGCACGUGUCUUCUCAAUGAAACCGGCGAUGAGCCCUUCCAGUACAAAAAUUAAGUGGACUAGACCUCCAGCUGUUGAGCCCCUCCUAGUUCUUCAUCCCACUCCAACUCUUCCCCCUCUCCCAGUUGUCCCGAUUGUAACUCAAAGGGUGGAAUAUCAAGGUCGUUUUUUUCAUUCCAUGUGCCCAGUUAAUCUUGCUUUCUUUGUUUGGCUGGGAUAGAGGGGUCAAGUUAUUAAUUUCUUCACACCUACCCUCCUUUUUUUCCCUAUCACUGAAGCUUUUUAGUGCAUUAGUGGGGAGGAGGGUGGGGAGACAUAACCACUGCUUCCAUUUAAUGGGGUGCACCUGUCCAAUAGGCGUAGCUAUCCGGACAGAGCACGUUUGCAGAAGGGGGACUCUUCUUCCAGGUAGCUGAAAGGGGAAGACCUGACUUACUCUGGUUAGGUUAGGACUUGCCCUCGUGGUGGAAACUUUUCUUAAAAAGUUAUAACCAACUUUUCUAUUAAAAGUGGGAAUUAGGAGAGAAGGUAGGGGUUGGGAAUCAGAGAGAAUGGCUUUGGUCUCUUGCUUGUGGGACUAGCCUGGCUUGGGACUAAAUGCCCUGCUCUGAACACGAAGCUUAGUAUAAACUGAUGGAUAUCCCUACCUUGAAAGAAGAAAAGGUUCUUACUGCUUGGUCCUUGAUUUAUCACACAAAGCAGAAUAGUAUUUUUAUAUUUAAAUGUAAAGACAAAAAACUAUAUGUAUGGUUUUGUGGAUUAUGUGUGUUUUGCUAAAGGAAAAAACCAUCCAGGUCACGGGGCACCAAAUUUGAGACAAAUAGUCGGAUUAGAAAUAAAGCAUCUCAUUUUGAGUAGGGAGCGAGGGAAGUGGUUCUUAGAAAGAUGGUGAUCUGGGAUUAGGCCCUCAUGACCCUUUUGGGUUUCUGCCCUGCCCACCCUCUGGAGAAGGUGGGCACUGGAUUAGUUAACAGACGACACGUUACUAGCAGUCACUUGAUCUCCGUGGCUUUGGUUUAAAAGACACACUUGUCCACAUGGAUUUAGAGAUAAGAGUUGGCUGGUCAACUUGAGCAUGUUACUGACACAGGGGGUAUUGGGGUUAUUUUCUGGUAGGAAUAGCAUGUCACUAAAGCAGGCCUUUUGAUAUUAAAUUUUUUAAAAAGCAAAAUUAUAGAAGUUUAGAUUUUAAUCAAAUUUGUAGGGUUUCUAGGUAAUUUUUACAGAAUUGCUUGUUUGCUUCAACUGUCUCCUACCUCUGCUCUUGGAGGAGAUGGGGACAGGGCUGGAGUCAAAACACUUGUAAUUUUGUAUCCUGAUGUCUUUGUUAAGACUGCUGAGGAAUUAUUUUUUUUCUUUUAUAAUAAGAAAUAAACCCCACCUUUAUUCCUUCAUUUCAUCUACCAUUUUCUGGUUCUUGUGUUGGCUGUGGCAGGCCAGCUGUGGUUUUCUUUUGCCGUGACAACUUCUAAUUGCCAUGUACAGUAUGUUCAAAGUCAAAUAACUCCUCAUUGUAAACAAACUGUGUAACUGCCCAAAGCAGCACUUAUAAAUCAGCCUAACAUAAGA